rnacentral:ncRNA from 1 species
GCGCCGGGACGACCCGGCGCCUUUUUCAUCCUGUUGAAGGGGACGGCCCCU